rnacentral:rRNA from 1 species
AUUGAACGCUGGCGGCAGGCCUAACACAUGCAAGUCGAGCGGAGCGGCGGACGGGUGAGUAAUGCCUAGGAAUCUGCCUGGUAGUGGGGGAUAACGUCCGGAAACGGGCGCUAAUACCGCAUACUAUCAGAUGAGCCUAGGUCGGAUUCGCUAGUUGGUGGGGUAAAGGCCUACCAGGGCGACGAUCCGUAACUGGUCUGAGAGGAUGAUCAGUCACACUGAAACUUGGACACGGUCCAGACUCCGACGUGAGGCAGCAGUGGGAAAUAGUGGACAAUGGGCGAAAGCCUGAUCCAGCCAUGCCGCGUGUGUGAAGAAGGUCUUCGGAUUGUAAAGCACGUUAAGUUGGGAUGCGUUGCCAACAGAAUAAGCACCGGCUAACUUCGUGCCAGCAGCCGCGGUAAUAC